CAUAAUUCUUUCUCUCUUCUCUCUCUCUCUUCUCUCUCUUCUCUCCGCCGCCGCCGCCGGAAAUAACCCACCGGCAGCGGCCAACCUCCAAACACCACCAAAUUCACACCAUGUAAUCUCUACAACCUCCUCUUUCCAUAUCUCCAAAUCAAAUCCUUCAAAAACCCCUCAAACGCCUUGAAUUUUAGAUCUAUAAAACUUUAGCCGCCAUUUUUUUGCCCAAAAUCUUGAAGUUCCGGCCACUACCACCCCACAAUACCUAUACCAACGGAUAGAGAUCAUCAAGACCUACCUAUUGAUGUCAAUUCCCUCCCGAAAAUUCGGCAACUAAAAAUCUGGCCAAAUUCCGGCGACCACCCCGAACACCCUCGUUUGAUUCUUGAUGAUAAUAAGAAGGAUUUGAUCCCGAUUUGGUUGAUGGAACAUAUUAGAUCUGAUUUUGUUUCAAGAUGAAUGUUAUAUUAGUGUUAUCAUCAUGUAAAUCUGUUAAAAAUUAGUUAAAUUAUCGUUUUCUUCUUUA